UACGUAUGAGGCAAGCGUUAUCCGGAAUUACUGGGCGUAAAGCGCGCGCAGGCGGAUGUUUAAGUAGGGUGUGAAAUCUCCCGGCCUAACUGGGAGGGGUCGCUCUAGACUGGGCGUCUUGAGGACUGCAGAGGUGGGUGGAAUUCCUGGUGUAGUGGUGAAAUGCGUAGAGAUCAGGAGGAACACCGGUGGCGAAGGCGGCCCACUGGGCAGUCACUGACGCUGAGGCGCGAAAGCUCGGGGAGCGAACGGG
rnacentral:rRNA from 1 species